rnacentral:rRNA from 1 species
CCUACGGGGGGCAGCAGUAGGGAAUCUUCCGCAAUGGGCGAAAGCCUGACGGAGCAACGCCGCGUGAGUGAAGAAGGAUUUCGGUUCGUAAAGCUCUGUUGUUAGGGAAGAAUGAUUGUGUAGUAACUAUACACAGUAGAGACGGUACCUAACCAGAAAGCCACGGCUAACUACGUGCCAGCAGCCGCGGUAAUACGUAGGUGGCAAGCGUUGUCCGGAAUUAUUGGGCGUAAAGCGCGCGCAGGGGGUUUAAUAAGUCUGAGGUGAAAGCCCCCGGCUCAACCGUGGAGGGUCAUUGGAAACUGUUAAACUUGAGUGCAGGAGAGAAAAGUGGAAUUCCUAGUGUAGCGGUGAAAUGCGUAGAGAUUAGGAGGAACACCAGUGGCGAAGGCGGCUUUUUGGCCUGUAACUGACACUGAGGCGCGAAAGCGUGGGGAGCAAACAGGAUUAGAUACCCUGGUAGUC